GGUUAAUUUUAUGAAUGCUGAUAUAUAUGAAAAUGUCUUUAGUCUAUCUCUGCACAUGACUAAUACUUUGCUAAAUCUGGAAUUCCAGGUUGAAAAUAAUCUUCCCUCAGGAAUUUUUAGGUGUCCGUGUCUUCAGGAAUUACAAGGCGCUAUAGCACUGAUCCCAUGGUGUUAAAGUCUCUGCCCUGAAGUUCAAGAUUCACAGAGGUUGCUGGAUACGCGCCCCCUCUACGAUCCAUUCCCCGAUUGCCCAACACAGCACUUGGUGCUUCAGAAUGGCCACCCCUCCUCGCACCUUUAAAGUGCUCUGGCCUCCGAGACAAGAACUCCUUCAGAACUGUGCUUCACAAGUGGACUUCCGAUCCAGAUGGGGGACGGCCACUUCUGUCACCAAAGGAGAGCGAAAGAUUACUCUCCCACAGAUACAAACUCUUCAGUCUCCCGAAUCCCUGAGAAGAGGGGCCUCUCUCUAAAGCUCCUGAGGAGAAGGACGAGGUCAGCUGCCCUUGAUGCCCUGUGUCCCCAGUGCUGGAGGUCAAUCCUGGAGCCUCAUACUUGCUAGACAACUGCUCUAUGGCUGAGUUACACCAUACCCACCCGCCACGUUCUUUAUACUAAACCACU